rnacentral:rRNA from 1 species
AUUGAACGCUGGCGGCAGGCCUAACACAUGCAAGUCGAGCGAGCGGCGGACGGGUGAGUAAUGUCUGGGAAACUGCCCGAUGGAGGGGGAUAACUACUGGAAACGGUCGCUAAUACCGCAUACCAUCAGAUACGCCCAUAUGGGAUUAGCUGGUAGGUGGGGUAAUGGCUCACCUAGGCGACGAUCCCUAGCUGGUCUGAGAGGAUGACCAGCGACACUGGGACGGAUACACGGUCCAGACUCCUAAGGGAGGCAGCAGUGGGGAAGAUUGCACAAUGGGCGCAAGCCUGAUGCAGCCAUGCCGCGUGUGUGAAGAAGGCCUUCGGGUUGUAAAGUAAUUUCAGCGGGGAGGCAUUACCCGCAGAAGAAGGACCGGCUAACUCCGUGCCAGCCGCCGCGGUAAUUC